rnacentral:rRNA from 1 species
CCCUUAGACGUUCUGGGCCGCACGCGCGCUACACUGACCAGUGCAACAAGCAUCCGUCCUUGGCCGACAGGCCCGGGCAAUCUUUGAACGCUGGUCGUGAUGGGGAUAGACUUUUGCAAUUUUUGGUCUUCAACGAGGAAUUCCUAGUAAACGCAAGUCAUCAACUUGCAUUGACUACGUCCCUGCCCUUUGUACACACCGCCCGUCGCACCUACCGAUUGAAUGGUCCGGUGAAGCCUCCGGAUUGGCGCGCACCUCGGUGCCGCCGAGAAGUUGGCUAAACCUUACCAUUUAGAGGAAGGUGAAGUCGUAACA